rnacentral:tRNA from 1 species
AGUAAGGCAAGCUAAACCGAAGCUACUGGACCCCCCAAAAAUGAAGAUUAAAUACUUCUCUUUCUG